AAAUCGGAAACUUACUGAGUGGAUACUUUCAGUAAUUCUGGAGCUAAUACAUGUUCGCACGGGCAACCGUGUCAUUUAUUAGAAUCACCAACCGCUUCGGCGUGUAGUGAUGACUCUGAAUAUCUCGCAGACCGCAUGCGAAAGCGGCGGCGAUUCACGUAAUUAACUGCCCUAUCAACUUUUGAUGGUAGUUUCGUUGUCUACCAUGGUGAUAACGGGUAACGGAGGAUAAGGGUUUGACUCCGGAGAGGAUGCCUUAGAAACGGCAACCACAUCUAAGGAAGGCAGCAGGCGCGCAAAUUACCCACUCUCAAUUCGAGGAGGUAGUGACAACAACUAACGAGACUGCGUCCUAUGGGCGCAGUCAUCGAAAUGGGUACGAUUUAAACCCUUUAACGAGGAUCUAUGAGAGGGCAAGUCUGGUGCCAGCAGCCGCGGUAAUUCCAGCUCUCAAAGUGUAUGUCAUUAUUGCUGCGGUUAAAAAGCUCGUAGUUGGAUCUGAGCGCGUGGAUACAGUUCACGUCUGUGUGAUACUGUCAUCCUGGGUUAAUUUCGGCGGUCUUCCGGCGAGAGUAACCCUGAACUCGCGGAGCGUUUUCACCAUGCGUGACGCUCGAAUCUACUUUGCAUGGUUUGAUUGGGCAAGGUAAUUUGGUG
rnacentral:rRNA from 1 species